GACGAACGCUGGCGGCGUGCCUAAUACAUGCAAGUAGAACGCAGUUGCGAACGGGUGAGUAACGCGUAGGUAACUGCCUCAUAGCGGGGGAUAAAGAUUGGAAACGCUAGCUAAUACCGCAUACUUUGAGAUGUACCUGCGUUGGAUUAGCUAGUUGGUGAGGUAAAGGCUCACCAAGGCGACGAUACAUAGCCGACCUGCGAGGGGGAUCGGCCACACUGGGACUGAGAACCGGCCCCGACGUCUACGGGGGGCAGCAGUUGGGAAUCUUUGGCAAAUGACGGAAGGCUGACCGAGCAAAGGCGGCGUAGUGAAGAAGGUUUUCCGAUCCGAAAGCCCUGUUUGUAGAGAAGCGGUAACUAACCAGAAAGGGACGGCUAACUACGUGCCAGCCGCCGCGGUAAUUC
rnacentral:rRNA from 1 species